rnacentral:lncRNA from 1 species
CGCGGGCGAGAACGAACAAAAAUGUGUGUCUGCAUCUUCAUCGUUUACGCUCGUUGCCCUCCUUGACCAGACACAGCGACACGCGCUGGCCAAGGAGGCUUUCUUGUAUUUGGAAUAACUUCUUCUGAGUCUUGAAAGUUCUUCAACAACAACAAUUAACUCAACAAUAUCAAUUUAUUAUCUUUAACUAUCUCUUAAUAGAAUAUUUGAAUGAAUGAAUGAAUGAAUCUAGCUUAAGCUUUCGCUGCUUAUAUACUCUCCGAAAGAUAUUAAUAAAACAUGACAUCAUACUAUUUUUAGAUACCACGUAAACGAUAAAUAUAGUAAAGUUAUGACUCAGCAAAAUUACGUAAUGUCUUAAUUAAAUUAAAAUUGUUCAAGACGUGACUGACUUCACGUCACACUCCCCCUCUUGAAAAAAGAAAGUUUGUUAGAACUUUCGUUAACUAACUGUUCGUAACUUCCAUUAUGUCCAUAUCAAAUAAUUGUUCUUUAAAUGUUAUAAUUAUACUCUAAAAUACUCUACAAAGAAUUAAACUUGAGAAAACUCAAUACAGCAAGAAUAGCGUCCUUAAACUCUAGCAACAGAAUAACAGAAUAGGGAAGAUUCAACAGAAGAACGACAUCUUCUAAAUAAAUUACAAACUCCCUUUUUAAUCUUAAAUUUAAACAACAUUUUGUACUUUAAUAAUAAUUAUUACUUUAACUUACGGGAGAUUUAUCAAAUUAUUACAAUUUUGUAACAAAACAGGGCAACAAACCACUGUAAUAAACCACUAACAAACCAGUGUAAAAACCACUGUAUCAAACCACUAACAUGUGGUCAAUAAUCACAAAAUCUUUCCCCACUGUUAGGCAUCACUGAGUAGACGUUAGCCACAAUCUUAGCAGAAACCUUUUGAUGAAGACGUAGUGAACCUUCAGCGUUGCACUCUUGUACUUCAGCCUAUUGCUAAGUCGACAGAUUUGAACUGCACGACGUUAAAACUCGAAACAGAUCCAUGAAUAAUAUAACACCAAAAGGACAAUCAUCAGACUGACAACAAAAGCAACCGCUCUUAUCCGAGAGAGUGGUUUCCCCGCUUGAAAUUAUAUCCAAUUACGUUUCUUCUACGUUUCUCGUUGUUACGUUUCGUUGUUGCUUUCCCGCCUGAGCCCCCAAUUGUUACGUUCGCGGGCGAGAACGAACAAAAAUGUGUUUCUGCAUCUUCAUCGUUUACGCUCGUUGCCCUCCUUGACCAGACACAGCGACACGCGCUGGCCAAGGAGGCUUUCUUGUAUUUGGAAUAACUUCUUCUUAGUCUUGAAAGUUCUUCAACAACAACAAUUAACUCAACAAUAUCAAUUUAUUAUCUUUAACUAUCUCUUAAUAGAAUAUUUGAAUGAAUGAAUGAAACUAGCUUAAGCUUUCGCUGCUUAUAUACUCUCCGAAAGAUAUUAAUAAAACAUGACAUCAUACUAUUUUUAGAUACCACGUAAACGAUAAAUAUAGUAAAGUUAUGACUCAGCAAAAUUACGUAAUGUCUUAAUUAAAUUAAAAUUGUUCAAGACGUGACUGACUUCACGUC